GUUCCUUUCAAUUAAAAAAUGUACUAUGUAAAUGAAUUAUAAUCAUUUAGUACGUAUACAUUUGUAGUACCCUCCAAUUCAUACCCUUGCGAAAACCAUUUCAUACCACAAAUAUCUAUUAGCCAAACAGGAGUCACAAAAUUACUAUCAAAUCUAAACCCCAACAAAACAUGUGGACCUGACAAUACAAACGGUAGAGUACUGAAAGAAUUAAAAGAGCAAGUGUCAUCAAUACUUAAAUUAAUGUUCAGUAAGUCAUUAGAGUCGGGGGAAACACCUAAAGAUUGGAAGCAUGCAAACGUUGCUCCAGCUUUUAAAAAAGGGGGAAAAUAUAAACCUGUAAAUUACAGACCCAUAUCAUUAACAUGUAUAUAUGCUGUAAAAUCAUGGAACAUAUCAUUACAAGUAACAUAAUGGCACAUUAAGAACAAAACAACAUUUUAUAUAACCUACAACAUGGCUUCAGAAAAAAAU
rnacentral:lncRNA from 1 species